UACGGAGGAUGCAAGCGUUAUCCGGAAUCAUUGGGCGUAAAGCGUCCGUAGGUGGCUUUUCAAGUCUGCUGUUAAAGCACAAGGCUUAACCUUGUAAAGGCGGUGGAAACUGAAAGGGCUAGAGUGCGGUAGGGGUAGAGGGAAUUCCCAGUGUAGCGGUGAAAUGCGUAGAGAUUGGGAAGAACACCGGUGGCGAAAGCGCUCUACUGGGCCUGCACUGACACUGAGGGACGAAAGCUAGGGGAGCGAAAGGG
rnacentral:rRNA from 1 species